GAUGAACGCUAGCGGCAGGCUUAACACAUGCAAGUCGAGGGGCAUCACGUCUUCGGAUGGUGGCGACCGGCGAAUGGGUGCGUAACGCGUAUGCAACCUACCUCUGAUUGGGGCAUAACCCGGAGAAAUGCGGACUAAUUCCCCGUACGUAAUUAGAAGACAUAUUCUUAUUAUAAAAGAUUUAUCGUUAAGAGAUGGGCAUGCGUGACCUUAGGUAGUUGGUGAGGUAACGGCUCACCAAGCCAUCGAUGUCUAGGGGAACUGAGAGGUUUAUCCCCCACACUGGUACUGAGACACGGACCAGACUCCUACGGGAGGCAGCAGUGAGGAAUAUUGGUCAAUGGACGGAAGUCUGAACCAGCCAUGCCGCGUGCAGGAUGACGGCUCUAUGAGUUGUAAACUGCUUUUGUAUGAGGGUAAAAAAGAGUUCGUGAACUCUCUUGAAAGUAUCAUGCGAAUAAGGAUCGGCUAACUCCGUGCCAGCCGCCGCGGUAAAAC
rnacentral:rRNA from 1 species